rnacentral:rRNA from 1 species
UGGGCUUGACAUCCCACGACCUGGUGAAAGCCGGGAGUGCCCGCAAGGGAGCGCAGAGACAGGUGGUGCAUGGCUGUCGUCAGCUCGUGUCGUGAGAUGUUGGGUUAAGUCCCGCAACGAGCGCAACCCUCACCCUUUGUUGCCAUCAGGUUAUGCUGAGCACUCUAAGGGAACUGCCUCGGUUAACGAGGAGGAAGGUGGGGAUGACGUCAAGUCAUCAUGCCCCUUACGCUCUGGGCUACACACGUGCUACAAUGGCCAAUACAAAGGGCUGCAAACCCGCGAGGGCAAGCCAAUCCCAAAAAAUUGGUCUCAGUUCAGAUUGUAGGCUGCAACCCGCCUGCAUGAAGGAGGAAUCGCUAGUAAUCGUGGAUCAGCAUGCCACGGUGAAUACGUUCCCGGGCCUUGUACACACCGCCCGUCGCACCACGAAAGUCUGCUGUACUCGAAGUCGCUGAGAAUCUC